rnacentral:rRNA from 1 species
ACGCUCGACACCUAUGGGAGGCAGCAGUGGGGAAUAUUGCACAAUGGGGGAAACCCUGAUGCAGCAACGCCGCGUGAAGGAAGACGGUUUUCGGAUUGUAAACUUCUGUUCUUAGUGAAGAUAGUGACGGUAGCUAAGGAGCAAGCCACGGCUAACUACGUACCAGCAGCCGCGGUAAUCUGAGCGGGCUGGCAAGGC